CCCAGUGGGCGGGCGGCUGGCUGCCCCCCGGGUGCAGGGGGGCGCUGGGGGGCCGGCAGCAAGGUGUGCUCAGGGUGACUGUCUUCAAGGGGGAAUCCGAUGACUCCAUUCUCCGGCUGGCCAAGGCUGACUGCAUCGUCUCCAAGAACUUCUGAGGGCGAGGACCCUCAGGCCGGGCUGAGACUUGUCCUAAAUAAACAGUAAAAACUUC